rnacentral:tRNA from 1 species
GCCAACUUAGCUCAGUUUGGUAGAGCAGCUGAUUCGUAAUCAGCAGGUCGAGAGUUCGAGUCUCUCAGUUGGCUCCA